GAGUUUGAUCCUGGCUCAGGACGAACGCUGGCGGCAUGCCUAAUACAUGCAAGUCGAACGCACGAAGUUGAAAAGCUUGCUUUUCGACCAAGUGAGUGGCGGACGGGUGAGUAACACGUGGGUAACCUGCCCAUAAGAGGGGGAUAACAUUCGGAAACGGAUGCUAAUACCGCAUAUUUCAAGUGACCGCAUGGUCGCUUGAUGAAAGGUGGCUUCGGCUACCACUUAUGGAUGGACCCGCGGUGCAUUAGUUAGUUGGUGAGGUAAUGGCUCACCAAGACCAUGAUGCAUAGCCGACCUGAGAGGGUGAUCGGCCACACUGGGACUGAGACACGGCCCAGACUCCUACGGGAGGCAGCAGUAGGGAAUCUUCCGCAAUGGACGAAAGUCUGACGGAGCAAUGCCGCGUGAGUGAAGAAGGUUUUCGGAUCGUAAAACUCUGUUGUUAGAGAAGAACAAGGAUGAGAGUAACUGCUCAUCCCCUGACGGUAUCUAACCAGAAAGCCACGGCUAACUACGUGCCAGCAGCCGCGGUAAUACGUAGGUGGCAAGCGUUGUCCGGAUUUAUUGGGCGUAAAGCGAGCGCAGGCGGUUCUUUAAGUCUGAUGUGAAAGCCCCCGGCUCAACCGGGGAGGGUCAUUGGAAACUGGAGAACUUGAGUGCAGAAGAGGAGAGUGGAAUUCCAUGUGUAGCGGUGAAAUGCGUAGAUAUAUGGAGGAACACCAGUGGCGAAGGCGACUCUCUGGUCUGUAACUGACGCUGAGGCUCGAAAGCGUGGGGAGCAAACAGGAUUAGAUAC
rnacentral:rRNA from 1 species